rnacentral:rRNA from 1 species
AGGACGAACGCUGGCGGCGUGCUUAACACAUGCAAGUCGAGCGGAAAGGCCCCUUCGGGGGUACUCGAGCGGCGAACGGGUGAGUAACACGUGAGUAACCUGCCUCUGGCUUUGGGAUAACCCUCGGAAACGGGGGCUAAUACCGAAUAUUCAGUCUGACCGGCAUCGGUUGGGUUGGAAAGUUUUUCGGCUGGGGAUGGGCUCGCGGCCUAUCAGCUUGUUGGUGGGGUAAUGGCCUACCAAGGCGUCGACGGGUAGCCGGCCUGAGAGGGCGACCGGCCAACGACGUGGGACUGAGACACGGCCCAGACUCCUACGGGAGCAGCAGUGGGAAUAUGCACAAGUGGGCGAAGCCUGGAUGCGAGCGACGCCGAGUGAGGGAUCGGACGGUCCGUUCGGGUUACGUAAACCGUCUUUACGAACGUAGGGACGUAAGGCGACGAAGUGACGGUACCGAGGACGAAGAACGCGACCCGACCGAACUACGUACGACCGAGACCGAACGGCCCGACGUUAACGCGUAGCGG